rnacentral:tRNA from 1 species
GAGGCUAGAGCUCAGUGGUAAAGGGCGUGCUUAGUGUGCAUGAGGUCCUGGGUUCAAUGCCCAGUACCUCCA